rnacentral:lncRNA from 1 species
GAGGAACUGAAAUCACAGUCAGGCUGAAGUACAGAGCAAAGGAUGCUGGGGUGUGAGGUGAGGUCAAAAGGUAGACACCAAGACUAGAGGCUGCAUAAUCUUGCUGGCUGUGCUAAUGAUUUUCUACCCCAAGAAUGCUGCUUCAGGAGAUCAGGGUUCGAAUUGUAACACAGAUACCAUCUUCUGUCCUGCCUCUAAAACUUAAAUACCGGUGACCCAAAGUCUCCAUUGAAACGGAUUGAGACCCG